rnacentral:rRNA from 1 species
UACGUAGGGGGCAAGCGUUGUCCGGAUUUACUGGGCGUAAAGGGCGCGUAGGCGGCCAGUGCAAGUCAGUUGUGAAAUCUCCGAGCUUAACUCGGAAAGGUCAACUGAUACUGCUCGGCUAGAGUGCGGAAGGGGCAACUGGAAUUCUUGGUGUAGCGGUGAAAUGCGUAGAUAUCAAGAGGAACACCUGCGGCGAAGGCGGGUUGCUGGGCCGACACUGACGCUGAAGCGCGAAAGCUAGGGGAGCGAACGGG